CCGAUACCUUUCGGCGGAAAGGCUCGCACCCACCUCCUCUUGAGGGUGCGAGCCCCUACCUGGGCAUCGAGUGCUCCGGGACCAUCCUAGCCAUCGGAUAAAGCGUUUCCCGCUGGAAAAUCGGCGACCAGUUGUGCUCAUUUAACCACUCUUUGGAGGGAUUCAAUUGUUGUCCUCUGUUUGGAAAUACAAUAAGAGGCAAAAAGAGCAAAGACCUUGUCCAAAUUCAAGAAUAUUUUGCAUGGUACAUAGAGAAGCAAAAGAACCACUGCGAACAGUUGAUAGAGCUCUCUAGAGGGUCCAAAAAUUGUAAAAUUGUUUUGGAAUGAACUGUUUUUGAGCUUUUACUCUAGGAAAAAGCCAUUAGAUUCAUGUAUUUUGGAAGAUGUAAAAGCAUGGCUAACUUGCCUUCUACCUUACCUAGGAACUUGCUGUUAUGUGAUGUUUUUGUGCACGAAUUUGGUUUGUUCUAUUUUACAUAUUUAAUUAAUCCAGAAA